rnacentral:lncRNA from 1 species
CAGCGAUAAAGAAACAUCGUCACUGUUCUGUGAAUGUGUGAGAUGUAGGUGGUAUUGGCAUAGCUGUGGGUGGUGUGACGUGGAAAGGAGGUGGGAGGAGCAAUGGGGGGCAGCUAGAAACGAGUUUCAUGCAUAAUAAGUAAGACUUUGACGGUCCUGGUAAUUGUUGCUUUUUUGUGUUUAACUGUUUUUUAUUUUUUCUUUAAAUAGGCUGACUCUGUGCUUAAGAAUCUAAAUUGCUGCUCAUAUGGCAAUGCUGCAUACUUCAGAGAAGAGAACUUUUGUACUGAUAGCAAGGACAUGGUCAAACAAAGCGCCACACUUGGUCAUUACAAGCCACAGGUAAAUAGCAAGAAACAGAAAAUGGACACUCAAUUAUUCUCCCCGUUAUUAGGAACAAUUACUAAUACGCCACCUCCACUAGAAUCUUCACGUCUAUAUAGUGACUGGGCUGCAUGUGGAGAUGAUAUCAGCGCAAAAACUUCUUUUCAAGACUGCACAAAAAAAAGGUAUGAACCUUCUUGGUAUAAUCUUAUGGUGAUAUUCUAGAAAACUGAAAUUGUUACUGGGCAGCACAAGUGGGAUUCCAGGUCUCUUUAGAAAGAAGUUAUGGGAUAACUACUUUGCUAUAAACUCUAUAAAUUAUCUUUAUUCUAUAAUAUUUCUUAUAGAGCUUGUG